rnacentral:rRNA from 1 species
UUGAACGCUGGCGGCAUGCUUUACACAUGCAAGUCGAACGGCAGCGGGGGCUUCGGCCUGCCGGCGAGUGGCGAACGGGUGAGUAAUGCAUCGGAACGUACCCAGUCGUGGGGGAUAACUACGCGAAAGCGUGGCUAAUACCGCAUACGCCCUGAGGGGGAAAGCGGGGGACCUUCGGGCCUCGCGCGAUUGGAGCGGCUGAUGUCGGAUUAGCUGGUUGGUGGGGUAAAGGCCUACCAAGGCGACGAUCUGUAGCUGGUCUGAGAGGACGACCAGCCACACUGGAACUGAGACACGGUCCAGACUCCUACGGGAGGCAGCAGUGGGGAAUUUUGGACAAUGGGCGCAAGCCUGAUCCAGCAAUGCCGCGUGCAGGAUGAAGGCCUUCGGGUUGUAAAGCUCUUUCAGACGGAAAGAAAUCGGGCGCGUGAAUAGCGUGCCUGGAUGACGGUACUGUCAGAAGAAGCACCGGCUAACUACGU